rnacentral:rRNA from 1 species
GACGAACGCUGGCGGCGUGCUUAACACAUGCAAGUCGAACGGAAAGGCCCUGCUUUUGUGGGGUGCUCGAGUGGCGAACGGGUGAGUAACACGUGAGUAACCUGCCCUUGACUUUGGGAUAACUUCAGGAAACUGGGGCUAAUACCGGAUAGGAGCUCCUGCUGCAUGGUGGGGGUUGGAAAGUUUCGGCGGUUGGGGAUGGACUCGCGGCUUAUCAGCUUGUUGGUGGGGUAGUGGCUUACCAAGGCUUUGACGGGUAGCCGGCCUGAGAGGGUGACCGGCCACAUUGGGACGGAGAUACGGCCCAGACUCCUACGGGAGGCAGCAGUGGGGAAGAUUGCACAAUGGGCGGAAGCCUGAUGCAGCAACGCCGCGUGCGGGAUGACGGCCUGCGGGUUGGAAACCGCUUUCGCCUGUGACGAAGCGUGAGUGACGGUAAUGGGUAAAGAAGCACCGGCUAACUACGUG